UUCAGAUUGCAGGCUGCAACCCGCCUGCAUGAAGUCGGAAUUGCUAGUAAUCGCGAAUCAGAAUGUCGCGGUGAAUACGUUCCCGGGCCUUGUACACACCGCCCGUCACACCAUGGGAGCCGGUAAUACCCGAAGUCAGUAGUCCAACCUCGUGAGGACGCUGCCGAAGGUAGGAUUGGCGACUGGGGUGAAGUCGUAACAAGGUAGC
rnacentral:rRNA from 1 species